CUGGACUAGAGUGUGGACCAGAGACAGGAGCAGUUGGAGGCCACGGAAGAAGAGUUGCACGGCAUCGAAGCUCGUCUGGAGGGCUGUCAACACAGUGUCCAAAGAAGGGCCAGAAGUAUACAGAAUGGUGUCGUCUGCGUAGAGGUGGAUCAGAGACUCACCUAUGACCUAGAGGCUCACUCCCCCCAGUGAACUUGUCCAGGCGUGUGGUCAAUAAGGGGUUUUACUUGAGAUGGGAGUAUUUGGAGUUGACAAUUGAUUUAUGCCAUAGAAUGAAUUGGUGUUUCUGUGCUAUGAAGUACCAGGAACGAGAUCGGAGCCUCGUCUUAGGGGCCAGACUAAACAACAAGAACAGUCUUCAUCGCAAACGCUAUCUGGCUGCGGGAUACUCCUUUUUCAUAUAUCAAGUUUCACCUUGUGACCCAUUCUAUACAUCUGUUGUUUGUCAUGAAGACUAAAAGGGCGUAUCUUUUCUAUAAAAGAUAUUUGUAUUCUUCGUAUGUCAGAGCUACUCGUCACAACACUUGGAAGUGUUGAGCCGACCAGCCUCAUCAUUAUAGAAGCAAUUGCUCUAUGCUUUCCUUAUUAAUAAGUUUUGAAUAAAGUAAUAUCCUGAUUGGUGAUUGACCUUGUCUCUCCUCAUUAUUGAUUAGAAUUUAGAGGUCCUUAGAUCAAUUAUCAGUGA
rnacentral:lncRNA from 1 species